CCAACUGUAGUUCCAUAGUUUCCACCUUUUUUCAUUACAAACAGUUCCUUUAUCUCUCCAUGUCAGAGGUCAACUGAAACCAUGUCCAACUGAACCUCCAAAGGUUUUUCCAGGACAAUCACACCUCCUAGUGACUAACUGUACCUCUGUAGUUUCAACCUUUUUUCAUUACAAACUGCUCUUUUAUCUGUCAAUUACACUUUCUACUGACCAACCGAACCUCCGAGGGGUUUUCUUUACAUCCUACUCUUUUAUCUCUACUUCUCAGAGGUCAACUGAAACCAACCCCACCUAUAUAAAAACACCCUAAUCAGACUGUCACGGUUCUGGGUCAGUGUUGACCCAGCAUUUUGAGUUUCUUAUAUUUUGGUUUAUUUUUGCAUUAUGGAUUAUUUUCUGAUGUUCUGGUGCUUUGUUCAUUAUUAUUAUUAGCAAUAAAGCUGUGUAUUUUGAAGUUUCUUCCGCCUCCGUGAGUCCUGCAUUUUGGGUCCUCUCUUCCUGCCUGCCUACAAACAGACAUGACACAGACACCCUGUAUUUUUCCUCACUACUACACAUCAGCCCUUGCGAGCACAACGCUUCGUUCAGCAGGACGGACAGCAAAGCUAACAGUGUUCUUUUGUUGUUUAACAUGGAGUUCAUAUAUGCCUGAUUUUUAGGAGCUCAUCACAACGGGACAGCAUACAUUUCACAUACACAAGGAUCACAAGCCUAUAUAGGGCAAACUACACCUAAAAAACACAGGGGUCAAUAAGCUGUCCAGAAAUACCUACAGCAGCGGGAGCAAUAAGACCAAGCCUUACAUUAGACCUGAGACAGAGUACGCAGCGUGUCAAGAACCGGGGCCAUCCAGAAUAACACAGACCAAUGUCAAUCACACAACCCCUUCCCACGAUGCGGACCAUGACGACCCCUUGAUGCUUUUGGAAUAUAUACGCGAUAUUGAACUCCCAGAACAACAAGAAAACCCACACGCUUUGUGCAACAAUGGAGACUAAGAACCAUUCUUCAUCACCGGACCAUACAUACACGCGAGUGCCUGCCUUGUGAUUUCAGCGAUAUUCCUGAGUACAGCCUAUCAGAUUUCAAUAUAGUUGACAUACCCACUACGCCAGAAUGUCUCAGAAACAACAGUGAUACAGACAUAGGUUUUGAAGAAGGCUGCAUAACAGACUCGCAAAUAUCACAGACAUAUGACGCAUACUUAAAUGCAGCAAACACCUCUACUUUUGAUCAGAGCCAUUCUGCUUCAAACAACGAUAUACUAUCUUUGAUCGAUGCUAAACUCAGCCAACAUCAACAAGCAGUACAGAGGGAUGUGCAAGAAAUAGCAGCUAAAGUCAGCCAACAUCAAGAAGCAGCACAGGGGGACUUGCAAUUAAUAGCAGUGGCUCUAACUAGUACCCAGCAGGCAAUAAACAAUACCUGGGGUUUAUUAGAUCUCAUUAGUACCAGAUUGUUAAAUCGCUGACUUUUAAAGUCUACACCAUGGACCCACCCUGUAAAUUAUUCAAACACAAUGAUGGUACCUCCACUCGAGCUAAAUGGUUUCACUUUGAGGCUUUUAGCCAGUGGGCUGCGCAAAUAAUAAACAAAUGCGAAGUUUUGCAUGCAAGACUUAGUAGUGUCGCUGUAGCAGACAGUCCUGUGUCUAAUGCACGUCCUUGUCCAACUCAUUCUGAAGCUGUUGCCGAUGAUGCUGUUUAUAUCGAUGUUGUUGCUCAUGCAACCGAUUCACAUCCAGAUAUGCUGCUGCUGCCGCUGCUGUAGGGACUGUUGUUACUCAGGCUACCGCUGAUUGUCUUAUUGCUGAGGCUUCUGUCACAGCUGAUCGGGAGUGUGCACCUGGCGUACAUGCGUAUCUGGGUGCCGCUACAGCUGCUGCUGACGCAUCACCACACAACCCCUCAAACAAUGGAAAUUCCUUAAGUGUUAACCAUUCACAAACAGGUGCUGCAGUAUUCGAGCCCAUUGUUCAGUCUGGGGCAGGCAGUCACAGUCAGCGUAGCAUUAGAGAGAUACUUAAUUUCAACGCCCGAGAAUUGCGUGAGCGCCUUGAUUUUAGGGACAUAAGUCUUGAUGAUCCAGAACAAGUGUCAGAAAGAGUUAGAAGCUGCUUAGCCAAUGUGAUAGAGCUUUGGCUGGAUCUCAGCAGGGUCAUGUUCUAAAUGUGGUCCUGCGUGGACCCUCGUUGGCUUCAGAUGGUCAAGCUGUUUUAAAUCCUGAUGAUCAGUAUGACCCUGACCUGUUUCUCGACCAAAUAGCUCAAGUUAUGCAAAGUAAUGACGAAUUUAUAGGUGAUGGUGAAUUAGAGUUUAUUGUCACGGUUGUGCAAAACAGUAGCGGUGGCGGCGGUGCUAUAAUUCGCAGGGUUUGUGGAGUGUUCUGCUGGUGAGAGAUAGCAAACCACAGAUCGUUCUAUUGAGAGAUAUGGAGCCAGAGAGGCAGAGGAGAGGUUCUGUCGUGUGGGAGUAUUUUUGUUUGAUUUUGGUCAGUUUUGGUUGGGUUUGCCAGUUUUGUGUUCUUUUUUUUUUUCUUUCUUUUUUUUCUUUUUUGUGGGUUUAUUUUAUCUAAAAACUUGUCAAAUUGUCAAAAAUCUGCUUUUCAUAAUGUACAUAUCAUGAAAUAACUUUAGAAAGACUUCCAUUUGACUCUUUUACAUUUAAUGUAAUAAAAAAUAUAUACUUUAUUUUUAAAGUAAUCUUAAAUGUUAUUCUACAAAUGUGCAGCAAUUUAAUGUGUUUAUUCUUUUUAACUGAUAGUCUGUGGAACCCAGGACGACCAGAUACCUGCAUCUCUACCAGUUUCUGUGCACUCCAGCCUCUUCUGAGAGGGUUUUUUUUAAGGCAGGAGAAAUUACUCCAUGAAAACAAGCAGACUCGGCCAUCACACAGUGGAACAAAUUCUCUUCUUAAAUAAAAAUGAAGGGUUACCUUAAAUGCAUCAUGUUUUUAAUUUGCAAGUUAAUAAGCAUUUUCCCUUUCCAGUUCACAAUCAAUUCUGCCCCCAGGUCAAAAAUAUGUAUAAAAAUAUUGGCCUAAUAUAAUAUUAUUAAUAAACAUACCUGUUCAGCU